AAAGUCGUAACAAGGUCUCCGUUGGUGAACCAGCGGAGGGAUCAUUGCUGGAACGCGCUUCGGCGCACCCAGAAACCCUUUGUGAACUUAUACCUAUUGUUGCCUCGGCGUAGGCCGGCCUCUUCUGGAGGCCCCUUGGAAACGAGGAGCAGCCCGCCGGCGGCCAACCAAACUCUUGUUUCUUAGUGAAUCUCUGAGUAAAAAACAUAAAUGAAUCAAAACUUUCAACAACGGAUCUCUUGGUUCUG
rnacentral:misc_RNA from 1 species